rnacentral:lncRNA from 1 species
CCAGAGACAGAGGUUGCUCUUGCACAGCCUGCCUGAGGUUUCUUCUGACCUGCUGAGUACGCAGCUGAAUACCAGAAGCAACAUAACACAAGUCGGUCAUGCUGGGUAGGAGCAGGGAAGGCAGAUGGAUUGAAGAAAUGCGGUCCUCUCUCUUAAAAAGCAUUUGGACAUCGUGCAGUGUGGAUGAAGACAGAGUAAAGAUGAGGGCCAUUGUUCACCAGUGAAGAAGAGAUAAAUGGGUGAGAGCCAUUCCCUGUAAGCAGCAUGACUAUGGGAAGACUCAAGAUGGAGAUUCUUCUUAGAGGAACAAAUCUUGAAAUUCUUCACCAUAAACUCCAAUGGAGGGUUGUGGAUCCAGAAGGAUUCAGACRUGGUGAUUCAAAGCUUGGUUCAUGUAGGUAGGAUGAACUUUCACCUUGGUUAUUUCCUCUGUCCAUAGCUUGUUGGUGGAUGUGGCUGCAGAAAGCAUUGUGAGUCUUCUUCAGGCUCCCCAG